UUACGGAGAGUUUGAUCCUGGCUCAGGACGAACGCUGGCGGCGUGCUUAACACAUGCAAGUCGAACGAGGACUAGAGUGCUUGCACUCUAUAGCCGAGUGGCGAACGGGUGCGUAACACGUGACCAAUCUGCCUUUGGGAGAGGGACAACCUGGGGAAACCCGGGCUAAUACCGCAUGAUGUGUCGUCUUCGCAUGUUGAUGACACCAAAGGGGGCCUCUACUUGUAUGCUCCCGCCCAAAGAGGAGGUCGCGGCGUAUCAGCUUGUUGGUGGGGUAAUGGCCUACCAAGGCUACGACGCGUAGCGGGUCUGAGAGGACGACCCGUCACAUUGGGACUGAGAUACGGCCCAGACUCCUACGGGAGGCAGCAGUGGGGAAUAUUGCGCAAUGGUCGAAAGACUGACGCAGCGACGCCGCGUGUGGGA
rnacentral:rRNA from 1 species